rnacentral:lncRNA from 1 species
UCCUGAUGACAUCUCUUUCCUUUCUCUGGGUUCAGGAGUUACUUCCCAGGUUGUGGUGACACAGGAACAUUCACUUUCCACAACUCCUGGAGGGGCAGUCACCUUCACCUAUGGCUCCAAAAUUGGGGCUGUCCUGGGACCCCUGCACAAUCCCCUGGUUCUCUUCAUGAAGAAAAAGCCACUCUGGUUAUAAUGAGGACUAGACCAAGAAUGAGGCCCAGUGUUACAUGCUCGGUGUGGUGAUCUGAAAUAUCACCACAGGGACAAAUACAAAAAUACAA